CAGUCCGGCCUGGCCAUCGAGGAGGAAGGAUGCUCAUUGCUAACUCCGGCCCACAGGCAGCUGAAACGCCUGACCGUGAAAGACGGAGACCCAGACUGACGCCCAAGUGCCCUGUGGAUGUCCGAGAGGGAUCAACGUCACCAGGAAACACACACGCCGAAAAGCCCCGAGACCCUGACAACACCUCAACUACAGCUCCAGAAGACUCAGUAAUAACAAUAAUGUACAGUUGUCUCUAGUCUUCACUGGACCUAAACAGGAUAGAAACGGAAAUAAGUGUGUGUAAACCUCUUCAGCAGUGACGGGCAGCGUGCUGGCUCCAGAACUAUCUAGCAGAGAGACCGGGGCGUGCGGAGUGCGAACUGCUGGGUUUGAUUCCUGGUUCUGCUGCUGCGUACGGAGAACAAGCUGCGUACCUCAGUUUCCCCAUCCUUAAAACACCCUGACCACUGGACCCGGGGGGUAUUCUGGACUGUACAAUGAUUCUCGCUUGUUCUCUGACCCAAUUCAUAUUUAUUUAAAGGCAAUGGAAUCGCUACUACGAGAGAGAGAGCGCGAGAGAAACGCCAGCAAAGGGCUCCUCUAGGCCAGGGGCUGGUGCACACCCGAGGGCUGGAGACUGCCUCUUCCCAUCUCGUCUCUGCGCCAGUUAGAGUCCAGAUUCUCAGGGGGGGUAAAUUAGCCUAGACUCCAUGAAGCUUUGCCGAUUUAAAGCCGGUGAAAGCCUGGCCCAAUAUCACUAUUUAAGCCCAUUUUGUUAGCCACGCGGUUGUAUUGAAUUGCCAGGCACAAGCCCGCCCACAUUGAAAGCUCCCCUCCGGCCUAAGGGGAGGAACCACUGGACCCAGGCAUCAAACGGGCAACAAAUGAGAAAAACAGAGAUGGGAGGGACGGUCAGAGGGUGAAAAGCAGGGAUCCGGAGGGGGACACCAAGCAGAAAACCCCUAAAGGCGUCCGGGGGCUGCAGCCUGGCGCACUCCACAGAUGUGCAUCAGGGUCGUCCUUACGCCACAAGUUUUCAGGGAGGCAGCGGUGAACCACACCAGGUACGUGCCCGUGCUCCCGGCUUCAUGCCAAGGGCUAUCCCAGCCGGGCUGCAGGACCAGGGUGGAAUAGAGACUGGCCCACCGGGGCUCCUCACUCUUCACGGUCGGUGGGAGGUGUCGGGUCGGGACACGAGGUGAGGAAGCCAAGGGGGAUGGAGCACCAGGGUGUGCGGCGGUUUGCUAGGCACAUUUCAGAAGUGGAACGGCGGCAGGUCACGCAGCCAGCUGGGUUAUGCAGAGCCAGAAGCUGGUGGGGGGAAUCGGGGAGCAGGGGCCCGAUGGCAUGGUCCAGAGGGCCGGGGGAGCAGGGGCUGGCAGGGAGCCUCCCUCCCCUAGGACCCACUCACGAAAGGCCCGAGAGGUGGGUUAUAAAGCUGACCUCACCUCCAGGGCACAC